AAAGAAGGAAAACCAGGGAGUGUCUACUCACUACAGACUAAGACAUGGAUACAUUCCGGACCUCCAAUGCAAGAUUUUGAGGAAGUGGUUGGAAUCUGGUGGCAGGAUGCCAAGGAGAAGAACCCAAAAGACCCUAGAAGACUUGGACUCCUACCCUCCCCUCUAAUCCUUCACCAACAACUGAGAAAAUUGCACAAUCACAAGUGAGAAGAGGCCUAGUAUUGGAUGAACCUUGAGACCAUGCAGGAGCUCCAGAAACCUCCUCCAGCUCAGCAACCCUGUGAGAAACCAGAUUAACAGUAAAGGCCCUGAUGGACCAAGACCCCUGCUAUUGGACCUCUCAAAAGACCCCUCUGAAGCCUCUACUAUAAAGCAACUAGGAGACCUGCCUGCCUGCCUCCCAGUCCCAACCCCAAAACUGAUGCAGCAAUUUCUGUACCAGGCAACACAAACAAACUGAUGACAGGAGCAUACACAUGGACAGUUGGCUUAGACAGAGGUCGAGUCCCUGCCUGCAAUAGUUCCUUUCUGUCUGUAGGAAUCUCCCUGAAGUUGCCACAGGUGCACCAAAGUGGUGGCUCACCAUUCUGGCGUCAGUAAAUCUCGAGGACAUAAAACACCAACCCUGGCUCUCAAUGAAACAUCAGCCUCACCACCUCCCUGUUGUCUGCAUCAUCGAGCUCCUUGAUGAGAAAUUCCUGAAUGAACAGACGCACACACAGCCUAUUAUCAGUAAAUCAGAAUGUGUUAUUUCUCUCCACACCCAACUAAAGGCAUUUC